UGGGACAGUGUCUUCACUCCCUGAGAGACACGUGUCAUCAUUAUCUGUUGGGCCACCUACUUUUUUCGGUUUGUUUAUAAAAGAACGUAUGGACUUUGCAGAACCAAGGCUACGUAUAUUGAGCUCUCCUCAUUUCUUUUGUUUUAAAAAAAACGUAAGGGCUUCGCAUAUUUGGUUUUAAUGGGCUACGUAUAUUGGGCUUUAUUAUAGAUUAAUAUACAUUAGGGCAUUCACCGUCUUCUUUGUCGCGAACCUUCUUAUCUGGCGUUCCCUCUACCGGCGCUCAUCUCCGUUGCUGCGCUCUUUAUGACUAUUGAUUAUGCACGUCGCUUCCUCAUCCUGUAACGCCUUCUGCUGUCUCUAUUUAUAGUGUCCUCCUGCUCUCCAGUCGCAAACGCCGCCACUGCAUAUUCCACGUUCGCCUCUCUCCGUCUCGGAAGGACCUCUCAGACCGUCGUCGGUCGGCUUAUCCGUUUUUGGGAUUCUACAAACAUUAACAAAAAUGGGGAGUUCAUGAGAAUAACACUCCUCCUGCUCGAUGAGUUUGACUCGGUGAUUCAUGAUUUCAUUCCCGUUAAACGGGCCAGCCAGGACCGGUCAUCUUUGAAAGCCGGUUCAAUCAUGAGAUUGGACCGUUUUGAAGUUGCACGGGUCAGCCACACGUACAAGAUAACCGAGCAUCAAUUCCUGAUCUGUUUCAUAAAUAAACAGAAAAAAAAGAAACGACACACCCGUUAUGCAUAAAUACUAUUUUACAAGCAAACACUAUUUUACACUUGGAACUCCUUUUGAAAACUGCCCACCACAAAAUCUGAAUUUUGAUGGGCCAAUCUGAACUAAACUACACCAAAGUCUGUACUUGAGGACUCACAUAUCUGUGUUCAUAAAUCAGGAAUCAAACUCUUACAUUGGCCACAGUUAGUUAAGCAAAAUUAAUGAAAUUUCUAUAUUUUGGUGUAGUGUCAUCCACGUUAUAGUGGGCUGGAUCAGAAAUGAAAAUUUGUUAUAUUUAUAUAUUUAAAGUUUCUAA